GACGAACGCUGGCGGCGUGCUUAAUACAUGCAAGUCGAACGGUGAAGCGCCUUCCUUUUUGGUGGGUGUGGAUGAGUGGCGAACGGGUGAGUAACACGUGAGUAACCUGCCCCCUUCUUCUGGAUAACCGCAUGAAAGUGUGGCUAAUACGGGAUAUUCUGGGUCUGUCGCAUGAUGGGUCUGGGAAAGAUAUUGUUUCGGUGGGGGAUGGGCUCGCGGCCUAUCAGCUUGUUGGUGGGGUGAUGGCCUACCAAGGCGGUGACGGGUAGCCGGCCUGAGAGGGUGGACGGUCACACUGGGACUGAGGCACGGCGCAGACUCCUACGGGAGGCAGCAGUGGGGAAUAUUGCACAAUGGGCGCAAGCCUGAUGCAGCGACGCCGCGUGAGGGAUGGAGGCCUUCGGGUUGUGAACCUCUUUCGCCAGUGAAGCAGGCCUGCCUCGUUUGUGGGUGGGUUGACGGUAGCUGGAGAAGAAGCGCCGGCUAACUACGUG
rnacentral:rRNA from 1 species